rnacentral:rRNA from 1 species
ACAGGGUGACAGGUGGUGCAUUGGUUGUCGUCAGCUCGUGUCGUGAGAUGUUGGGUUAAGUCCCGCAACGAGCGCAACCCUCGACCUUAGUUGCCAGCAUUCAGUUGGGCACUCUAAGGAGACUGCCGGUGUUAAACCGGAGGAAGGCGGGGAUGACGUCAAGUCCUCAUGGCCCUUAUGUCCAGGGCUACACACGUGCUACAAUGGCCGGUACAAAGGGUAGCAAGACCGCGAGGUGGAGCCAACCCCAAAAAGCCGGUCUCAGUUCGGAUUGGAGUCUGCAACUCGACUCCAUGAAGUUGGAAUCGCUAGUAAUCGUGGAUCAGCAUGCCACGGUGAAUACGUUCCCGGGCCUU